GCCAGUGUAGUGUAGUGGUUAGAGCACUGUACUAGGACUCUGGAGACCAGGGUUCGAAUCCCAGCUCUGCCA